GGGCGAUGUGCGCGGCCUAACCAUGCAAGUCGAGCGGAUGAGUGGAGCUUGCUCCAUGAUUCACGGCGGACGGGUGAUUAAUGCCUAGGAAUCUGCCUGGUAGUGGGGGACAACGUUUCGAAAGGAACGCUAAUACCGCAUACGUCCUACGGGAGAAAGUGGGGGAUCUUCGGACCUCACGCUAUCGCAUGAGCCUAGGUCGGAUUAGCUAGUUGGUGAGGUAAAGGCUCACCAAGGCGACGAUCCGUAACUGGUCUGAGAGGAUGAUCAGUCACACUGGAACUGAAACACGGUCCAGACUCCUACGGGAGGCAGCAGUGGGGAAUAUUGGACAAUGGGCGAAAGCCUGAUCCAGCCAUGCCGCGUGUGUGAAGAAGGUCUUCGGAUUGUAGAGCUCUUUAAGUUGGGAGGAAGGGCAGUAGAUUAAUACCUUGCUGUUUUGACGUUACCAACAUAAUAAGCCCCGGCUAACUUCGUGCCAGCAGCCGCGGUAAUACGAAGGGUGCAAGCGUUAAUCGGAAUUACUGUGCGUAAAUCUCGCGUAUGUGGUUCGUUUAGGUGGAUGUGUAAGCCCCAGGCUCAACCUGGGAACUGCAUCCGGACUGUCAUAGCUAAAUUAUGGACUAGGGUGCUGAAAUUUCCUGUGUAGUUCUGAAAUGCGUAGAUAUAUGACAGAGAUCUAGUGGAGCACGCGAUCCCCAGGCCACUUACUGACACUGACGUACGAUAACGUGGGAAGCAUCCGGAUUAAAUACAUUGGAACCCACGUCGUCACGAUGUCACUAUGACGUUGGAUCCUUG
rnacentral:rRNA from 1 species